AUCUACGGCCAUGCCACCCUGAACAAGCCUGAUCCUGUCUGAUCUCAAAAGCUAAGCAGGGUCAGGCCUGGUUAGUACUUGGAGACCACCUAGGAAGACCAGGUGCUGUAGGUG
rnacentral:rRNA from 1 species